GGGGGUGACAUGGCUUCGACGCCGAUUACAAAACCUUGAGUGCAUGCCGUGAGUGUAGUGAAUCACGUAAAUCAAUUACUGCACAGUUAUAGUUGCUAACGACGAUAACUACGCUCUAGCAGCCUAAAGGGCCGCUAGCGCCACACUCAAAGGUGUCUGUAACUAUGAGGUUUGUGGUGUCAUUUGAGACAGAAUCGCCUGGACGCUUCGCCUUAAGCUGAACGGUUAAAACUAAAAAGGCUCGCCCUAAACGCCCUGACCCUCGGGCCGUGCUGGGUUAAUUGAAUAGAGGUGUCUACGCAUGUAGACCUUAAGGCAGCGGAUUGGCGGACGCGGGUUCGAAACCCGCCACCUCCACCA
rnacentral:tmRNA from 2 species